GUGAACAGUCAGUAUCAUCAAGGACACAUUAUGAUAGUUUAGGAUAAGUAUCGACGUCAUAAGAAUGAACUUAACGUCAUUACGUCAUCCUUGUAAUAAAAAGAUUUGCAUAACGAUGUUAUUGAGGAGAUAUCUUAGGAUAAUUAUCUCGUAUGUAUAUCUCGUCGUACCGAUGAUCUAUAAAUAUCCGAUCGUUGAUUUGAAGAAAGACAUGGAAAUUGGAAUUCUGUUCCUUUAAUUUUUUUCAAAAUUUUAAACAAACGAAGAAAAUGUUUUUAGCUACAGUAACUCACAUAACCUACUCGUUAUUCCUUCUUCUUUGUAGAUGCUAAUUUUUUAUUUAUGAACUAAAUUAUUCAGCAGCUAUAGUUUGUUUAACAGAUCCAUGCUGAUUAUCGUGGAUAAAGAGAAGAAAUUGAUAUUUAUAACCCACAAGUAAUUUUAAAGAUCUGUUCUGUCUCAUUGAAGAACUGAAUGCUUCGUCAAGAAUGAACGUUGCAACGACAGCCAAUCGAAACUUCAAGUCGAGGGGAAGUACGGGAUAUCGUUUUCAUUAUCAAAGUAAAUAUGUACACGUUGCUGUUGGGUGUGACGUGUCACGAAAGAAACAUCAAGAAGUCAAGACGUACGAGUUUACGUAUAUUUCUUUAAGAAGACGACGUAUCGAGAAUCCUUUCUUGAGGCAAACAAGAUAUUAUACACAUUUAUACUUGUAAAUUGAAAGGAAGCUAAAAGAGAAUGGGAGAUAAGAAGACGGUUUUACUUGUUCACAAACCCAUAUCAAACGAUGGAUAUGGAGAAUUUCAUACAGCUUUGCAACGAUAUGGUGGUGAAUCUAUAAAGGCCCAAGAUGUGGACAGCAACAAUUAUUGGCGUCAUUUAAACACUUCCUGGUUGGAUAAACCUGGCCAUUUUGUUUUGCUUUGCUUUUCUCCUGACUCCAUCGAUUGAUACAGAAUAUUGUCAAGGAAUAUGGGUUGAUGAAAAAUGGCAUUCUUCUUGAUAAGAUCUUCACUUUGUCCUUAGGGAAAAGUUGUAAUUGGCCUCACAAAACUAGGAAGGAGCGAGAUUUUUCGUUUGAUGUUGAAAGCAUCGAAAAUAUUUCGGAUGAUCAGGAAGGUCGAAUCAAAUAUUUUCAAGAUCAUGCAACCAUGAUGUCUUUGGUUGCAGCUAUAAAAGGUGUUAAACUGCCUAGAGUAGUAAUGAAACAGUCAAAUCGUCAUGUACUUAUAGAUACUUGAUACUUAAGCUUGCAUUGAAAAUAGUUGAUUAGCAAUAACUAAUGCUCAAUUUUUUGUAUUCGGAAAUAUACGAUUUCUUUCAAUUA